rnacentral:tRNA from 2 species
UAUAUAUUGGUGUAUGUUGCACAUAAAGUUUUGAUCUUUAAAGAGUUAAGUUUAAUUCUAACAUAUAUAA